AACGAACGCUGGCGGCAUGCCUAACACAUGCAGGUCGAACGAAGGCUUCGGCCUUAGUGGCGCACGGGUGCGUAACGCGUGGGAAUCUGCCCCUCGGUUCGGAAUAACAGUUAGAAAUGACUGCUAAUACCGGAUGAUGACUUCGGUCCAAAGAUUUAUCGCCGAGGGAUGAGCCCGCGUAAGAUUAGGUAGUUGGUGGGGUAAAGGCCUACCAAGCCGACGAUCUUUAGCUGGUCUGAGAGGAUGACCAGCCACACUGGGACUGAGACACGGCCCAGACUCCUACGGGAGGCAGCAGUGGGGAAUAUUGGACAAUGGGCGAAAGCCUGAUCCAGCAAUGCCGCGUGAGUGAUGAAGGCCUUAGGGUUGUAAAGCUCUUACCAGGGAUGAUAAUGACAGUACCUGGAGAAUAAGCUCCGGCUAACUCCGUGCCAGCCGCCGCCGUAA
rnacentral:rRNA from 1 species